rnacentral:rRNA from 1 species
CCUACGGGAGGCAGCAGUGAGGGAUAUUGGUCAAUGGGGGAAACCCUGAACCAGCAACGCCGCGUGAGGGAAGACGGUUUUCGGAUUUUAAACCUCUGUCCUCUGUGAAGAUAAUGACGGUACCUGAAGAAGAAGCCCCGGCUAACUACGUGCCAGCAGCCGCGGUAAUACGUAGGGGGCAAGCGUUAUCCGGAUGUACUGGGUGUAAAGGGGGCGCAGACGGCGAUGCAAGCCAGGAGUGAAAGCCCGGGGCCCAACCCCGGGACUGCUCUUGGAACUGCGUGGCUGGAGUGCAGGAGGGGCAGGCGGAAUUCCUGGUGUAGCGGUGAAAUGCGUAGAUAUCAGGAGGAACACCGGUGGCGAAGGCGGCCUGCUGGACUGCAACUGACGUUGAGGCCCGAAAGCGUGGGGAGCAAACAGGAUUAGAUACCCUUGUAGUC